rnacentral:tRNA from 1 species
GGCUGGUUAGCUCAGUUGGUAGAGCACCGCAUUCACAUUGCGGUUGUCACAGGUUCGAGCCCUGUACCAGCCA